rnacentral:lncRNA from 1 species
CCAGGUACUAGCGGUGGAGGAAUAAUUGAAUCCAUGGUACCUGCUCCAUCCAUUCUAUCAUCAUCAUCAUUGAUAUUAUACUAGAUCGACAAGUGAUCCCGCCUUCCUUGGAAUAGAUCAUUCCUAUUAGCAUUACACUGCACUUGUGCGGCUACUUGCUCUGCAUGCCUUGGGUUACCAUGGUUUAGCAACUCCUUGUCUCCCAAGUCUUCAUCCUCAUGAUUUGGAUGCUGUACUUGUUGACUGUCAUUCUGCAUAUCUACCUGAGCUCUAGCUAAGGCUGCUAACCUAUCAGCUUUCUGUUGGUUUGCCAUUCUAUCGAUUAGUUGUUAUUCCAAAUUAAAUGGUAAUAAUGGUUCUCCGGAACUUCUAAUUCUUGGCAACCACCAAAAAAGUCCUGCAGC